rnacentral:lncRNA from 1 species
CUGAGCAGUUGGGAUUACAGGCAUGCACCACCACACCCUAAUUUUUGUAUUUUUAGUAGAGAUGAUGUUUCACCAUGUUGGCCAGGCUGGUCUCAAACUCCUGACCUCAGGUGAUCUGCCCACCUCGGCCUCCCAAAGUGCUGGGAUUACAGGCAUGAGCCAGCAUGCCUGGCUUACUUUUUACAAUGAUUUUACUGUAUUAAAACAUUUUACACUGCACUGAAAAGAAGAACAUGAGAAAAUGUUCAUGGGUACCAUUUGCUUGUACUGGUAGAUUUUCCAGUGGAUGUGCUGCCUCUCAUUUACGUGUUUCUGACCAGUUCCUAGCAGAGAACUCAGUACAACAGAGCAGGCAUUCGAUUAUAUUUGUUGAAUGAAUAAAUUAAUGACCAAUACACUAAAAAAAAAAAGACUAUUUACAAAAUGAAAGUCCUAAACUUUAUAAGAAUAAUGCCGGUUAUCUACAUUACAAAGAAAUGUCUUUGCUUUAUCCAAAAACUACUACAACAGCAGCAAACCACCAAUGUUCUAAAUUCUUAGAACAUCAACAUUUAUUUACUUCAUUAAAAUUAGGCUUAUAUCCAUUAAGUACAGAAACCAUUAACAAGUCAUUUGACUUCCCUAAUUCCCACAUUGGUACCUGUAAAUUAGAGAGUAAGUAUCAGUCUUCUAUUAGCAGACAAUAUUGUUAAAGAGCUAAUAAUUUUCUGUCAGAUAUUUAGCACUAGGACAAGGUAUUUCAAUUAUGUUAUUAUUUUUAUGAACAGAAAUUAGCGAUCUGAAUCAGAGCCUAUAGUUAAAAGCAUAUUUGGUUUUCAGAAAGUUAAGUGGUCUGUCAGUGUGCUGACGAUGUCAAGAACCUAUUGAUGGCAUGAAGAGAUGGGAGAUGAGAAGCAGACAGUGAUUUCAUAUCCUGAUGACUAAUUGAUAUUGAGUGCUUAUCCAUGGGGUCAUGUCUCAAAAAAGUACCACAGUACUGUCUACUGGGGUCGUCUUUCACACUGCUCUGUCAACACUGGGUGAAGAAACCAUGUUACAGGGCUUCCCACUUGCAACUUGACAUUGAUAAGAAUACUUUAAGAUUUCUGUGUUCUUUCACCUAAAACCCUACGUCGUUAAUUUUACCAAGAAGAAGAUCACACAGGUUCAGGCAGGAGUGACAAUGCUGAAGUCAUUUAAUCCUCACAUUACAGGCAAACUUCAGUGAGAUUUUGCAAAUGUACCAUUUCCUCUUGAACAUUUUCCUGAAUCUUUAUUUUAAUUAAAUUAAUUAAUUAAUUUCUUUAUUUUGAGACGGAGUCUUGCUCUGUUGCCUAGG